CAAAACGUAGCUUAAUAAAAGCACCUGACUUACACUCAGGAGAUUUCCCCUACUAAAGGAACGUCUUGA
rnacentral:tRNA from 1 species